GACGUAGGGUGCGAGCGUUGUCCGGAUUUAUUGGGCGUAAAGAGCUCGUAGGCGGCUCGUCGCGUCGACCGUGAAAACCCGCGGCUUAACUGCGGCUUGCGGUUGAUACGGGCGGGCUAGAGUUCGGUAGGGGAGACUGGAAUUCCUGGUGUAGCGGUGAAAUGCGCAGAUAUCAGGAGGAACACCGGUGGCGAAGGCGGGUCUCUGGGCCGAUACUGACGCUGAGGAGCGAAAGCGUGGGGAGCGAACAGG
rnacentral:rRNA from 1 species